rnacentral:rRNA from 1 species
GUGGGGAAUCUUGCGCAAUGGGCGAAAGCCUGACGCAGCCAUGCCGCGUGAAUGAUGAAGGUCUUAGGAUUGUAAAAUUCUUUCACCGGGGACGAUAAUGACGGUACCCGGAGAAGAAGCUCCGGCUAACUUCGUGCCAGCAGCCGCGGUAAUACGAAGGGGGCUAGCGUUGCUCGGAAUUACUGGGCGUAAAGGGCGCGUAGGCGGGCAGCUUAGUCAGAGGUGAAAGCCCAGGGCUCAACCUUGGAAUUGCCUUUGAUACUGGCUGUCUUGAGUUUGGGAGAGGUGAGUGGAACUCCGAGUGUAGAGGUGAAAUUCGUAGAUAUUCGGAAGAACACCAGUGGCGAAGGCGACUCACUGGCCCAAUACUGACGCUGAGGCGCGAAAGCGUGGGGAGCAAACAGGAUUAGAUACCCGAGUAGUCC